rnacentral:rRNA from 1 species
UACGGAGGGUGCGAGCGUUGUCCGGAAUCACUGGGCGUAAAGGGCUCGUAGGCGGUUUGUCACGUCUGCUGUGAAAACUGGAGGCUCAACCUCCAGCCUGCAGUGGGUACGGGCAGACUAGAGUGCGGUAGGGGUGACUGGAAUUCCUGGUGUAGCGGUGGAAUGCGCAGAUAUCAGGAGGAACACCGAUGGCGAAGGCAGGUCACUGGGCCGCAACUGACGCUGAGGAGCGAAAGCAUGGGGAGCGAACAGG